rnacentral:lncRNA from 1 species
CUGACCGUUGCCUUCGAAACCAAGGUCAGGACCUGUGCCUUCAACUCAAAGACCUCGACCUCUGCUUUCUUUCUUUCCUCCUCUAAGAUGGCCCUCAAGUCUGUCGAGGUCUACUCCUCCUUCUGCAGCACCUCUCGGAGACUCACGACUUCGACGAUCUUCUCCUUGAGGCGGACGGCCUCGGCCAGGCGACCUUCCUCCACC